GAACAUUUUAGCAUUCAUGCAUUUUUUUUUUAUUGUCAAAAAUAUGAUUAUUUUGCAAAUGUGAAUUAAACAUCAUUAUGUGUUAAGAAAUAUUAUAGACUAUACUAUGCAAAAUAGCAUAAUUGGCAUUUGGUUGGUUGUGAAAGGGUAUUCUUGACUUUUAUCAUGCAAAUGGCAUGAAUGGUAUUUAGUAGGAAAUAAAAGGACUUUUGAGUCAUUUCUUAUGAUUUUGGUUUUAAUCCAUGGAGGGGAUGACAUGUGUAGGUGUAUGUGGUUGCACCAUAUCCAUUCAUUUUAUAACAUAUAGUAUGCCUAGUAUUUUGUUCUUAGAAACCAUUUUGGCAAAACCCAAUUUUCCUGCAUCCUAUUUCCUUUCCAUAGUGAUACCUUUUAAGCUAAAUUUUGGAAGCUUUGUGUUGGGAUUUUGAUGGGGCUUUGUGAAGGAAAAAUGUUCCUUAGAUAGUGAGGGUUCUUUUGAUAUCAAACUUGAGUCCAUUUCUUUUGUUGUUGGGUUUGGAAAGUGGUGUUAAAAGAAGAGGGUUUUGGUUGCAAACAAAGAAGGAAAGUGUUCAUCACCUUCUAGUUGCUGAUUUUGAUCCAUUUGUGGUGUGGUUUUGAAUUGUUGAGCAAGUGUUCAAGCUUCCCUUGAGGUCAUAGCAUGGAUGGUGUGAAGGGUGUUCCUCCUCAGCUGUAGAUAGAGUCGGGGCUGGUGUUGUUGUGUUAUAUUCCGCAUAAUAGACUAUGUUUUGUAUUAUACUUCCUAGAAUUUUCCUGGCAUGUAAUAAAUUUUCUUUCAGACUUUAAAACUUUAAAGUUUUAAUAUUUGCACCUUAUCUAUUUA